rnacentral:rRNA from 1 species
GGAGUCUGGGCCGUAUCUCAGUCCCAAUGUGGCCGUUCAACCUCUCAGUCCGGCUACUGAUCGUCGCCUUGGUAGGCCGUUACCCCACCAACUAGCUAAUCAGAUGUAAGCCCAUCUAUUAGCGGAUUGCUCCUUUCCUCACUAUACCAUGUGGUACUGUGAGCAUAUGCGGUAUUAGCAAUGAUUUCUCACUGUUAUUCCCCUCUAAUAGGCAGGUUGCUUACACAUUACUCACCAGUCCGCCACUAAAGCCAUUGUUAAAGAACUUCAAUCAGAUAAAUCUUCAAUCUAUUCUCUAACGACUUCCGUUCGACUUGCAUGUCUUAUGUGCGCCGCCAGCGUUUAUC